ACCCAUUUUAAAAUCAGACAUUGCAUUACCAUGUAAAUGGUACAUCAAUAUCAUGUUACAAAAUGUUUUCAGUCAUGAAUUAUAAAAAUGUAGGUUUGUAUCAUGCACAUUGAAGUCCAUCUUCAAAAACGUAAGUGACAGUUAAGAGGUUAAAGAUAUAUAGCACAAGUAAAUUUUUUUAAUCAAAACAUUUUAAAAUGAAACUAAAAUUUUAAAUUCGACAUAGUGUUCAUUAUUGGAUCUUUUCUGGCUGUACAGCUUUGUAAAAUGUGUUCAUAUGAUCAGAAUAAGAGGAACUCAGACCUCAAGACUAGUUGAUUAAAAAUAAAGUUGUCUAAGAAAAGGGAAGUUAGUUAAGAGAAAGCUCUGUUAUACUAGCAUGCAUUUUUAUUUUUAUUUAUUUUCAUUUAGGCCACUCAUUCUUGUGUAUAAUUCAGUGAAGGGCGCCAAGGGUGUCAACAAAAAGCAACAAAUGCAUGUUGAAAGACACCAAUCACCCAGAACCAAUGUAAAUCUGCAGACAGAAUACUGGUGAAUAUUGAUUCAGUUAUUGAUGAGAACAAACAACAUUUGUACACUGUCAGGAAACAAGCUUUUCUCCAAAACUUGUAUGCCGUCAUAAAAGAGUCACCCAAAAUCCUCAGGUUGUGAUUAUGAGGCUGUUCACACCAACAUGGAUCUCACCAUCUAUCGAAUUGUCUGAUGAUAAUGAACAGCACAACGUUUACCAGUGUUUUGUUAUGCUCAAAAUUAUGUACAUCAGAUUGUACAUUUUUAAAACUCUCUUUUUGAGUCUAUAGCUUGCAUUGACUGAUUUUAUAUAUUGUGUCUGCUCUGUUCUGUUUUUAUCAACACUUUCCAGCAUGUUUGAGUGUAAACUAUAAAUACUGUACAUAUAAAAGUAGAAUCAAUUCUAGCACUGAUUUUUUUUGCAUUUUAAUUUUAAUUAUCAAUAUAUUUGACAGUGAGUUAGUAUAAUAUUAAAUAACAAAGCAUUGUAUUGUAAAUGUGCAUGCAUAAUUGUUUUACUAAUUUUGUUUCUGAUUUAACAUAUUGCGAUUAAACAACACAAUGCACUAAACUUAGCAAACCAAGAGCAAAAAGCAGACAGGCUGCUGAGAACCUGUGUGCAGCUUAUAUAUGACUCUAAGUAGAACAGGUAUAUUUGCAGCAAUAACCAACAAUACAUUGUGUGGGUCAAAAUUAUAAAUUUUUCUUUUACGCCAAAAAUCAUUGGGAUAUUAAGUACAGAUUAUGUUCCUUGAAUAUAUUUUGUCAAUUAUAUUAAAUUAUAAAUUUAUCAAAACUUCAUUUUUGUUAAGUUUUAUCCAUUGCCAAGAACAUCAUUAAGACAACUCAAUAUUUGUAUUAUAUUUAUUUAUUUACUUAUUUAUGGCCGGCAGCCAUAUCACCCUGGAUCCCAAGACCGGUUGCCCACUGAAGCUGAGCAGAGUUGAGCCUGGUUAGUACCUGGAUGGGAGACCUCCUAGGAAAACUAGGUUGCUGCUGGAAGAGGUGCUAGUAUGGCCAGAAGGGGGGCUCACCCUGUGGUCUGUGUGGGUCCUAGUGACCCAGUGUAGCCAUGGGGACACUAUAACUGUCAACAAGCACCGUCCUUCGGAUGAGACGAUGAGAGGUCCUGACAUGUGGUCAGUAACAAUCCCAGGGUGACUUUCGAAAAGAGUAGAGGUGUGACCUCGGCAUCCUUGCUAAAUUUGCCCAUUGGAAUCUAACCAUCCUGGCCUCAAUUGGCUGCAUCACUCUGUCUCCUCUCCACCAAUAAGAUGGCGUUCUGGCGCAAUAUGGCUACCGUCGCAUCAUCCAGGUGGAUGCUGCACACUGGUGGUGGAUGAGGAUACCACUGACCAGGGGCGGAUCUACUUGGGAGGCAUAAAAUGAAGCCUUGCCACCCCAGUUGGCAGCAACUAAUUAAAAGUUACGGCCAAUUUGAAAAUUUACAAGCGCGAAUCUCCAGUGUCCGACUGUAGUAAAUGCAGCCAGCACGAGAGGACGCCAGAGCGGCAAGAGACUGAUUUGUCCAAGUAGGAAAACUUUGGGAACCAGGAGUCGCAAGGAGACAGAGGUGGAAAGAUAUGGCUUAUCUAUCUAUCUAUCUGUCUAUCAGGAAAUGAAGCUAUAAUGAAAGCACAGUGCUAGCAUAGUUGUAAUGUUAACUUUGAGAUGAUAAAUAUCAGGUUACGUUAUUUCGCUAACUAAUGUUGAGUGGUGUAGUCUAGCCUACUAAGUGGUACGUUACCCACUUUUAAAAUGCGUUAGGAUCCGUAACAACAUCGUUUUGUGUCAGAACUUUCACACUUUUGUUCAUAAAUUCACCCCAUCUGUGUUUACAUAACGACAGGGAUUGAAUUGACGGAUUCCGUCACGAAUGGCACUUGCUGUAUAAAGCAGAACGUCACGGAAUUCGAUAACACUUAAUCUUUCAUAAUGAUCUCAGUUACAUGUCGAUGCACACUGUAUGCAUUAGUGAGUGUGGGGGUGCUGAUGGGGUAUGGUCACUUAUUCCUUAUAUGAACGAUUUCAAAUGCAAGACAUUGAUUGCAUGAGAUUAAGCCUGUGCCCUUUUGUGGUGUGAACAUACUAUUUAU